rnacentral:lncRNA from 1 species
GGGCUCCCCCCUGCUCGCCCUGCGGCCGUGGCGCCAACGCCCUCUAGCUCUGUGGAGUAAGUAUGAUGUGGGAGACUGGCUGGAGAGUGUUGGUUUGGCAGAGCAUCGUGCCCGCUUCCAGGAGCAUGAGAUUGAGGGUUCCCACCUCCCUGCCCUCACCAAGGAUGACUUCGCUGAACUGGGCGUGACACGAGUCGGACACCGCAUGAACAUUGAGAGAGCGCUCCGACAACUGCUGGACAACUGAACCUCUAACCCCUGAUAUUACUGAAGGGCUGUCACACCUGAACCCUAACCCUCUGUGGAGGUAUUCUGGCAACACCAGUGGCUGUAACCUGGCAACACCAGUGGCUGUAACCUGGCAACACCAGUGGCUUCAUCCUGGCAACACCAGUGGCUUCAUCCUGGCAACACCAGUUGCUUCAUCCUGGCAACACCAGUUGCUUCAUCCUGGCAACGCCAGUGGCUGUAACCUGGCAACACCAGUGGCAGUAACCUGGCAACACCAGUGGCUUCAUCCUGGCAACACCAGUGGCAGUAUGCUUUCAGAUGUCUAUUUUCCAAAGACAGCAUCACAUGGAGUUGAGCAUUUAGUAUGAACUUUUUAUGAAUAUACAAGAAAAUACCUCCUCCAUCGAAAUAUCUACAAUAUCGACAUAUUUUCCAAUAAUGAAAUUGAUGAUAAAUGUUUAUUAGGAAUAGAUAUAUUUAAAUAAAAUGGUGUGUUUCAUGACAACUUUAUUCUGUUUAGGGAAGGAUGAGAAGUGGUGGAUGAGACUUCAUCGUUAACCUGUCCGUCUACUACAUUACCCUGUUAGUCUACUACAUUACCCUGUUAGUCUACUACAUUACCAUGUUAGUCUACUACAUUACCCUGCAAAUCUACUAUAUUACCCUGUUAGUCUACUACAUUACCCUGUUAGUCUACUACAUUACCCUGUAAAUCUACUACAUUACCCUGUUAGUCUACUACAUUACCAUGUUAGUCUACUACAUUACCCUGUAAAUCUACUACAUUGCCCUGUUAGUCUACUACAUUACCAUGUUAGUCUACUACAUUACCCUGCAAAUCUACUACAUUACCCUGUUAGUCUACUACAUUACCCUGUUAGUCUACUACAUUACCCUGUAAAUCUACUACAUUACCCUGUAAAUCUACUACAUUGCUCUGUUAGUCUACCCUGUCAGUAUAUUGCAUUACCCUGUCCGUCUAUUACAUUACCCUGUUAGUCUACUACAUUACCCUGUAAAUCUACUACAUUGCUCUGUUUGUCUACCCUGUCAGUAUAUUACAUUACCCUGUCCGUCUACUACAUUACCCUGUUAGUCUACUAUAUUACCCUGUCCAUCUAUUACAUUACCCUGUUAGUCUACUACAUUACCCUGUUAGUCUACCUAUCUACCCUGUUAUUCUACUACAUUACUAUGUUAGUCUACCCUGUUAGUCUACUAUAUUACCAUGUUAGUCCACUACACUACUCUGCUCAUCCUCUACAUUACCAUGUUGCCUACCCUGUUAGUCUCCUACAUUACCCUGUUAGUCACCUACAUUACCCUGUUAGUAUCCUACCCUACCCUGUUAGUCUACUACAUGACCCUGUUGUCUACCCUGUUAGUCUACUACAUUAAAUCAAAUCAAAUGUAUUUAUAUAGCCCUUCUUACAUCAGCUGAUAUCUCAAAGUGCUGUACAGAAACCCAGCCUAAAACCCCAAACAGCAAGCAAUGCAGGUGUAGAAGCACGGUGGCUAGGAAAACUCCCUAGAAAGGCCAAAACCUAGGAAGAAACCUAGAGAGGAACCAGGCUAUGAGGGGUGGCCAGUCCUCUUCUGGCUGUGCUGGGUGGAGAUUAUAACAGCACAUGGCCAAGAUGUUCAAAGGUUCAUAAAUGACCAGCAUGGUCAAAUAAUAAUAAUCAUAGUAGUUGUCGAGGGUGCAACAAGCACAUCCGGUGAACAGGUCAGGGUUCCAUAGCCGCAGGCAGAACAGUUGAAACUGGAGCAUCAGCACGACCAGGUGCACUGGGGACAGCAAGGAGUCAUCAUGCCAGGUAGCCCUGAGGCAUGGUCCUAGGGCUCAGGUCCUCCGAGAGAGAGAGAAAGAAGAAAGAGAGAAAGAGAGAAUUAGAGAGAGCAUACUUAAAUUCACACAGGACACCGGAUAAGACAGGAGAAAUACUCCAGAUAUAACAUUACCAUGUUAUCUACCCUGUUAGUCUACUACAUUACCCUGUUAUUCUACUCCAUUACCCUGUUGUCUACCCUGUUAGUCUACCCUGUUAGUCUACUACAUUACCCUGUUGUCUACCCUGUUAGUCUACUACGUUACCCUGUUAGUCAACUACAUUACCCUGUUGUCUAACCUGUUAGUCUACUACAUUACCCUGUUAGUCUACCCUGUUAGUCUACUACAUUACCCUGUUGUCUAACCUGUUAGUCUACCCUGUUAGUCUACUACACUACCCUGUUAGUCUACCCUGUUAGUCUACUACACUACCCUGUUAGCCUACCCUGUUAGUCUACUACACUACCCUGUUAGUCUACCCUGUUUGUCUACACACUACCCUGUUAGUCUACCCUGUUUGUCUACCCUGUUAGUCUACACACUACCCUGCAUGUCUACCCUGUUAGUCUUUUACACUACCCUGUUAGUCUACCCUGUUAGCCUGCCCUAUUCGUUUAAUACAUUACCCUGUUGUCUACCCUGUUAGUCGACCCUAUUAGUUUAAUACAUUACCCUGUUGUCUAACCUGUUAGUCUACUACAUUAUCCUGUCAGUCUACCCUGUUAGUCUACCCUGUUGUUAUUCUACUACAUUAUCCUGUUAUCUACCCUGUUAGUCUACUACAUUACCCUGUUGUCUAACAUGCUAGUUUACUUCACUAUCAUGUUAGUCUACUGCAUUAUCAUGUUAGUCUACUGCAUUAUCAUGUUAGUCUGCUACAUUAUCUUGUUUGUCUAUCAUAUUACCUUGUUAGUCUGCUACAUUACCAUGUGUGUAAAUCUUUGGCCUAAAUUAGUUUAUUCUGCCAGGAAGACCUCGAAUGAACCUCACUAGUAUACAUGUUUUAUAUGAAUUUUAAGCAAUGUUGACAGGAAAGUUUCCAGUAUAUGUUUUCUAAUAUCCCUAGCUACUGGUUUGUAUGGAUUUUAUACCUGUCUGUGAUGCU